GGAAUAUUGCACAAUGGGCGCAAGCCUGAUGCAGCCAUGCCGCGUGUAUGAAGAAGGCCUUCGGGUUGUAAAGUACUUUCAGCGGGGAGGAAGGUGUUGUGGUUAAUAACCACAGCAAUUGACGUUACCCGCAGAAGAAGCACCGGCUAACUCCGUGCCAGCAGCCGCGGUAAUACGGAGGGUGCAAGCGUUAAUCGGAAUUACUGGGCGUAAAGCGCACGCAGGCGGUCUGUCAAGUCGGAUGUGAAAUCCCCGGGCUCAACCUGGGAACUGCAUUCGAAACUGGCAGGCUGGAGUCUUGUAGAGGGAGGUAGAAUUCCCGGUGUAGCGGAGAAAUGCGUAGAGAUCUGGAGGAAUACCGGUGGCGAAGGCGGCCCCCUGGACAAAGGCUGACGCUCAGGUGCGAAAGCGUGGGGAGCAAACAGGA
rnacentral:misc_RNA from 1 species